UUCACCCUUUCACCUAUUAGUCAUAUUACAUCACGACAACGGUUGCAAUAUUAGAAUAGUAAUAAGUGCCUCUUUUAACUUAUUAAAGGUGCUUUGCUAUUCUAAUUUUCAUUCAAAUAAAAUACUCUUUUCUAAUAGGUUUGUCAAUGAGGCAAGAAUAUGAGCAAAUCGUUGAAUAAGACAAUGAUAAUAUCCAACAGGCCUAAAAAUGAGUAGAGUUCAGAAGCAUCUUUGGAGGUUGGCCAAUCCUCU
rnacentral:lncRNA from 1 species